rnacentral:rRNA from 1 species
AGCGAACGCUGGCGGCAGGCUUAACACAUGCAAGUCGAGCGGACCUUUCGGGGUCAGCGGCGGACGGGUGAGUAACGCGUGGGAACGUGCCUUCCGGUUCGGAAUAACCCUGGGAAACUAGGGCUAAUACCGGAUACGCCCUUAUGGGGAAAGGUUUACUGCCGGAAGAUCGGCCCGCGUCUGAUUAGCUAGUUGGUGGGGUAACGGCCUACCAAGGCGACGAUCAGUAGCUGGUCUGAGAGGAUGAUCAGCCACACUGGGACUGAGACACGGCCCAGACUCCUCCGGGAGGCAGCAGUGGGGAAUAUUGGACAUUGGGCGCAAGCCUGAUCCAGCCAUGCCGCGUGAGUGAUGAAGGCCUUAGGGUUGUAAAGCUCUUUUAUCCGGGACGUUAAUGACGGUACCGGAGGAAUAAGCCCCGGCUAACUUCGU